CUAUUCAACUGUUCACACCCGACUUUCCUCUUCCAUCAUUAAUUUACAGAUUACCGAUUACGGAGUUUUAAACUUUUGUUUUUCUCUCACCUCCAUUUAUCAGACUAUCACUAUCAACUUUUUCAUCUUCCUGAAACGUUCUUGUAAAUUUUCGUUGAUAUUAGGGUUUCAGUUUUCGAAACUAUCCAUGUCUAUUCCAGAGCAAACUUCAAACGACAUUAAAGUUGCUAGGUUGUCACUGCAAAAACUUGGCGAAACGUUUCAGGAUUUCCGGAAUCACUCCUUCUCAAUCCUUACGCUCAACAAGCAAUGGCAAAAUUUACAGACUUCUCUCGCAACAAUUUCCAAUUCGCUGGAGGAGAGAGUCAAGGGAGACGAGUCAAAGCAGAGAGAAAUUGACAUGGCUUGGAAUAGACUUCAGAAUUCCCAGAAGGAUGUUGAAUUGCUGAAGAGGAAAUUGGAGUUUGGGGAAAAGUCGUUGAGUGAAAGGAUUGAAGGUUUGGUGUUGAAGGAGAAGCAAGUGAGUGAGUGGCGCGAGUCUUUGGAAUUGGAGAAGGGAGCGGUUUUGGACCGUUUAAAUGCGGUUAAGUUGAGGGAGAAGCGAUUUGAGGAGGAGUUCGAGCGAGUUAGAGCGGUGGAUGUUGAGGAAGAGAGGGUUGAGGCAAGGCGGAAGGCGGUGGAGGAGAGAGAAAUGGGAGUGAAGAAUAGAGAAUUGAAAGUGGAGGAGAGAGAAAUGGAGGUAGAGAAGAGAGAGAAGGAGAUGCAGGUAAAAUUAGAAGAGGAGAAGAAAUUGUUGGAAGUGAAAGAGAAGCAAAUAGAUGAGUUGUACAAUGCAGUUGAGUUGAAGCGGGAGGAGAACAAUGUGAGAAGCGAAAUGUUGGUAUCGAAAGAGAAUAUUUUAGGAUUGAGGGAGGCCCAAAUUAAGGAGCAAUUGAAGGGACUAGAGUUGAAGGAGCAGGAGAUUGAUGAACGUUCUCAAGUGUUAGACGCGAAAGAGAAGCGAAUUGAAAUUCUCACUUGCGAACAAGCAAAAGGCAGGGAACGUACUCAGCUACAGGCGUCCAGUGAGAUUCAAUUGUUGUGCAGAAAUAUGGACACCAAAGGCAUGGGGUCAUACCUAAUUAAGCAUUACAAGGAACACAGUACGCUUACAUAUAUUAUUUCUUCUGCUAUUCACUUAACACCAGAGCCAGCGAAGUUUGUUCUUGAUGUGAUUCAGAGUUUAUACGAGUUGCUUGAGUCAAAAAGUGUAUCAAGACAAAUUUAUAGUGGUAGUUGCUUGUUUUUGUCAGUAACAGUGAUGGAAAUGGCUACUAUUACAAAAUGUUUAAAAGACGAUGCAUUGAAGUUCAGUAUCACGUGGAGAGAGUUUUUGGAUAGGCAGGGUGUUACUAAUUGUAUGGAGAUUUUUUCCUUCCUGUGGUUUUUAGCAUCAUACAAGUUAGCAGAGCUAUAUGAUGCGGAUGAACUACUCUCACUUCUUGGGACAUUUUAUACUGAAAGUGGGGAUUUUCAGCAUGUGACCGACGUUCGUUUGUGCAGGAAAUUGGGAUUGGUGAACAAAAUUCCAGUUAUCUCCCCCCUUGAAGGUCAUAUCCAAUCUCUUAUUGAGAGAAAGGAACAGCUUAGAGCAGUUACAUUUAUAUGUGUAUUUAAGAUGGAGGAUGCUUUUCCACCAGUUCCUCUACUGAAAGCUCGUUUCGAGGGCAUCCAGAAGAGAUUGCAUGAAAUGGUCAAGAAAGGCAGUGAUGCAGCUCAGAAUGAUGCUAUCAACAUGGAAUUGUGCUCUCUCGAAGCCAUACUUCAAUGCAUUUCUAAGUUCAAGCUUGAGUACGAUUGUGUUCAGUUAGCACCCAAUCCAGCAAAUUUUGCUCUUGAUGUGAUUCAAAGUCUCUACAAGUUGCUUGAGUCAGAUGGUGUGUCAAGACAAUUUUUUACAAGUAGAUGUCUUACUUUCUCAUCAGCAGUAGUGAAAAAUGGUACUACUAUUACACAAGGUUUAAAAGACGAUGCGAUGGAGUUCAGUAUAAAGUGGAGAGGCUUUUUGGCUAAGCAGGGUGAUGAUACUCACUAUAUGGAGAUUUUUUCCUUCCUGCUCUUUUUAGCCACAUACAAGUUAGGAGAUUUAUAUAAUAAAGAUGAACUACUUUCACUCUUUGGGACCCUUUAUGUUGAAACUAAAGUUCAGCUUUCUGGACAAGACGACCUUUUGCGCCAGAUCUUGGGAUCGGAGAAGGAAAUUCCAGCUCAUAUCCAAUCUCUAAUUAAGAGGGAGGAUCAGCUUACAGCAGUUGCAUUCAUAUGUGUAUUUAAGAUGGAGGAUGCUUUUCCACCACUUCCUCUACUGAAAGCCUAUUUGGAGGGCAUCCAGAAGCGAGUGCACGACAUGAUAAAAAAAGCAAGUGAUACAUCUCAGAUUGAUGCUAUCAACAUGGAGUUAUCUUCUCUCAAAACAGUACUUAAAUGCAUUUGCAAGUUCAAGCUUGAGUCCAGCUUUUCACCUGCUCCUCUGGAGUUGCGCAUAAAGCAGUUGGAGAAGGACAUGGAAGGAAAGACUAAUGCUGAAAGCUUAUCGACAGUAAACGAGGACCUUACAAACUCGAAAAACAAGGGAGUUGCUCUUCCUGGCAUUGAUCAGUCUCAUAUGUUGAUUGGGAAGAAAAGGAAAGCGUCUUAAGAUAGUGCCAACGGUCUUGUGAAGUCCGUUGAGCAGCAACAACCGCACAUUAGGGCAGUUGUUAUUUGUUGAGCAGCCAGGUACAUCACAACAACACCAGCAGGGAUAUGGAGCAGUGGCUCAGGGAAUUCUCCAUGACGAACAUAAUUCUCAACAUCAACACCUUGUUCACCCUCAUCAUCAAUAUAUAUAAUCCACAGCAUCAACUGCAACGGCCUGGAUGCGAAGAGGGUACGAGUAGAAAUACCAACUUUUUUGGAGUUGAUUUGUUUUUGUUUCACAAGAUUCAGUCCCAAGGGGAUUGGAUGCAUAGGAUUAAAUGCGUGCAGUAGUAUAAUAUACGCAAUGGACAGUAGAAACAGAGGUGAAAAAAGAGAUUUUAGACAUUAGUCAUCUGAAUUUUUGUAAGGCUUUUGUGUCUUUUUUUUUUUUUUAGUAAUGAUCGAGAUAGUUAUGGAAUUAAAAGCUAUUUUUAUCCUAUAAUAUGAUCGAGUUAGUUAUGGAAUUAAACC